rnacentral:rRNA from 1 species
UUGAACGCUGGCGGCAUGCCUUACACAUGCAAGUCGAACGGUAGAGGGGCAACCCUUGAGAGUGGCGAACGGGUGAGUAAUGCAUCGGAACGUGCCCAGUCGUGGGGGAUAACGCAGCGAAAGCUGUGCUAAUACCGCAUGUGAUCUGUGGAUGAAAGCAGGGGACCGCAAGGCCUUGUGCGAUUGGAGCGGCCGAUGUCAGAUUAGCUAGUUGGUAGGGUAAAAGCCUACCAAGGCGACGAUCUGUA